rnacentral:rRNA from 1 species
AUUGAACGCUGGCGGCAUGCUUUACACAUGCAAGUCGAACGGCAGCGCGGGCUUCGGCCUGGCGUCGAGUGGCGAACUGGUGUGUAAUGCAUCGGAACGUGCCCAGUAGUGGGGGAUAGCCCGUCGAAAGCCGGAUUAAUACCGCAUACGUCCUGAGGGUUAAAGCGGGGGAUCUAAAGGCCUCUCGCUCUUGUAUCUGCCGAUGUCGGAUUAGCUAGUUGGUGGGGUAAAGGCUUACCAAGGCGACGAUCCGUAGCUGGUCUGAUAGGCCGACCAGACAAACGGGGAAUGAGACACGGCCCAGACACCUACGGGAGGCAGCAGUGGGGAAUUUUGGACAAUGGGGGCAAACCUGAUCCAGCCAUGCCGCGUGCGGGAAGAAGGACUUCGGGUUGUAAACCGCUUUUGUUAGGGAAGAAAUCCUAUGGGCUAAUACCCCGGGGGGAUGACGGUAACGGAAGAAUAAGCACCGGCUAACUACGUG